ensembl:lncRNA
CCCCAGAAAUCUCUGCAACCAUUAAACUUAAAAGACAGUGUCUCACAAUCCCCCAGCUAGAUGUAAACACUGAUGCAUUAUACAUUCCAAAACCACAUCUGAUACUUUUUUUUUUUUUUGCCUUUUCACAAACACAUACUGAACAAACAGCACUGAUUCCUUUAGAAGCAGUCAAUCUCAGUGCAUCCUUUCCCAGAACAUUCUUAGAGAAUCUGAGGUGGCAUAACAGUUCCCUUAUUUACACUAAGUAGAAGUUGGCUGGCAAUGGCAAACACUAAGCAUAGGAACAGCCACUGCUUCAUCAUCAGAUAUCCAAGACAAAAGGUUGAGCUCAAAAAUAUGCAUUUGCCUUUAAAAUGCUACCAUCUCUGUGUGUCCCGUUUCAGUGGGCUUGUUUCAUUUAUUGAGGAUCACAAUGUACAUCUGAAACAUCGAAAGGCAGAGAGUGAGCACAAAACUGGACCUGCAGUAUUCAGCAGACUGACGUGACUGUUCUACUACUGUUCUGCAAAGAGAAAUAAAGAAAAGACAAAAGGAGACUAAGAAUAAAGAUUCAGUUCAACACUGGAGGUCAUAUUGACAUUCGCAAAAAUAUGAGACAUGUCAGAAAUAACAAUCCGAUUAGAGUUACAGAGUAAUUGCACAGCCUAUAGGCUGUUCGUACAUCUGAGGUGAUGUUCUAUAGGCUGUUCAUACAUCUGAGGUGAUGUUCUGUUCAUACAUCUGAGGUGAUGUUCUAUAGGCUGUUCGUACAUCUGAGGUGAUGUUCUAUAGGCUGUUCAUACAUCUGAGGUGAUGUUCUGUUCAUACAUCUG